UACGUAGGGAGCAAGCGUUGUCCGGAAUCAUUGGGCGUAAAGCGCGCGUAGGCGGCCCGGUCAGUCCGUCGUGAAAGUCAAAGGCUCAACCUUUGAAUGUCGAUGGAUACUGCCGGGCUAGAGUCCGGAAGAGGCGAGUGGAAUUCCUGGUGUAGCGGUGGAAUGCGCAGAUAUCAGGAGGAACACCAAUGGCGAAGGCAGCUCGCUGGGACGUGACUGACGCUGAGACGCGAAAGCGUGGGGAGCAAACAGG
rnacentral:rRNA from 1 species